rnacentral:rRNA from 1 species
UACGGGGGGGGCAAGCGUUGUUCGGAAUUACUGGGCGUAAAGGGCUCGUAGGCGGCCAACUAAGUCGGACGUGAAAUCCCCAGGCUCAACCUGGGAACUGCGUCCGAUACUGGAUGGCUUGAAUUCGGGAGAGGGAUGCAGAAUUCCAGGUGUAGCGGUGAAAUGCGUAGAUAUCAGGAAGAACACCCGUGGCUAAGGCGGCUCUCUAGUACGGUACUGACGCUGAGACGCGAAAGCGUGGGGAGCGAACAGG